rnacentral:lncRNA from 1 species
GUUCUUUCUUACUUCUAAGGAAAGGGCUUUUCUUCGAUUUUUCAAUAAAGACGAGUUUUUACUCCUUUUUGAUAUUUUCUAUUAUAAAAUUCGAAGUUAUAAGAAAGGGUCAUUAAACUUAUCGAAUUAACUUCUCAUUGAUGUAUUCUUUCAUCGAGAUUUAAUCUAAACCGCGAUGGUAUUUUCUUGUUCCUGAAUGGGUCUGUUUCAUCUUAUUAGGUUUAUGCUCUACUC